GAUAAUUGCAUACAAAGAAAAACACACUAUAUUUAAUAGAUAAACUUUAAUAUUACCACCAAUGGGUUAUUUUUUUUUAUUUUUUUAGACAAACGAUAGCUUCCUUUUUUUUUCUUUUUUCUUUUUUCUCUUUCUUUUUUUUGGUAGGGGCUUUUU
rnacentral:ribozyme from 1 species